rnacentral:rRNA from 1 species
GACGAACGCUGGCGGCGUGCUUAACACAUGCAAGUCGAACGGAAAGGCCCUGCUUUUGUGGGGUGCUCGAGUGGCGAACGGGUGAGUAACACGUGAGUAACCUGCCCUUGACUUUGGGAUAACUUCAGGAAACUGGGGCUAAUACCGGAUAGGAGCUCCUGCUGCAUGGUGGGGGUUGGAAAGUUUCGGCGGUUGGGGAUGGACUCGCGGCUUAUCAGCUUGUUGGUGGGGUAGUGGCUUACCAAGGCUUUGACGGGUAGCCGGCCUGAGAGGGUGACCGGCCCAAGUGGAGCAGAGAUACGGCCAGAACCCCGCGGGAGGCGACCGGGGGGGAAUGUGGAAGAAUGGGCGGAGCCCGAACCCCCCACCCCCCGGGGCGGGAGGCCGGCCUUCGGUUAGUAAACCCCUUCCCCCUGUAACGAAGCGGGGGUAGCGGAAAGGGAUAAAAAACCCCCGCCCAACUCCUUC